UUGUGUGUGGUGUGAGGUAAGAGCUCAUGUUCUUUAGCCUGGGAAAGAGGCCGAUGAAUGCAGACAGACAGAUACAUAAACAGUUCCAUCUCUUAAUGAAGGAGGACCACCUUUGCCCAGAGAAUUGUUUUAUAAUGGUGCUCAAAAAUAACCAAUGAGAGAUACUCACGUCUAUUUCUGAGCUGUCUCUUCCUUUACACUGGUCUCAAUAUCAUCUAUACCAAUUCUCCAUUGCAUUGAUUUCUGAACUUUUGUAGUAAGUCAAAAUAUCAGGUAGUAUGAGGCCUCUGCUUUGCUCUUCUUUGUAACAUUGUAUUUUUAAUUUACUUAUUUUUUUGUUUACAGGCUUGUUUGCUAUUUUAAGUGCUUUUCAUUUUCUUCUAAAUUUUAAAAUCAGUUUGCCAAUGACUACAAAAUAUUCUGCUGGAAUCUUUACGGGAACUUUGUUGACUCUUGUUUUUAAUUUGGGGAGUAUUGCCAUCUGAACACAACUAACGCCUCCCAUUCAUAGUGUGGGUUAGGGCUCCAUUGGUAUAACUCGCUAAUUUUCCCUGACAGGGGUUUAAAGUUUUCAACAUGAAGAUCUCACUCUUCAUGAUUCCUAAGAAUUUUAGUCUUUAAAUGCUAUUGUGAAUGGAAAGAAUUUUUUUUGAAAAGAAUUUUUUAAAUUGCAUUAUUAAAUUGUUACAUUGGGAAAAUAAAUUAAUAGGUUAAAAAAAUAAAAGUAGGGGCAGAGAGAUGUCUGGGUUGGCUGAAGCUUGUGCCACAGAGUCUGAAGACUUGAAUUUGAGCCAUGAGACCCACGUGGUGAGAAGAAGGAACCAGUUCCUCCCAUGUUGCCCUCUGACCUGCUCGGGCUUGCUGGGCACACACGUGUGCCUCUCAUACAUGCAGCCCAUAUGGAAAAAUUGUUAGAUCUUGAUACUAUAGCCUUGCUAACCAUGCUUCUUGCUCAUAUUUUUAUUUUGCUUUUAUUAGAUUCCCUAGGGUUCUUUCAGAGAAGAAGGAAAAUUAAGGUUCUUCGGGAGUGGUGGUGGUGGGGGUAACAUUUCUUUAUUACGAUGUCAACCAUAACUGCUUGAGAAAAGAAAACCUGAAACAGCAUCAACAGAAAGAAACCAACCAACCCUGGGCCGCGGAUGGGGGCUGGCCUAGAAGGAGGUGAGCUUAAGCUUUGAUCCUCCUGACUCGCCUUCCCCCGCGCUGAGAUGGCAGGUGUAGUCCUGCACUUCCUGUUUGAUGCUUGGAUUGAACCUACAGACUACACAAACACUAGGUACUGAGCUAAGUCAUCAGCCCUGAGUUUAAUCUUUCCUAUAGACUGACAUUCUGUUUUAGGGAUAGUUUAAAUACAAAUAAUCUAUUUUACCAUUUGUUUGAGUUUAAUGUGUGGUUCAAAAUAAACAAUACCAGAGCAAAAUAAAGUAAGACAAGAUCCGCAGAGAAGGAAGCGAGCCAGAGAAGCCCCAUCCUUCUCUUUCCCAAUGAAAGCAGUUCAUUCUCAUCCUGAAUAUUAAUUCCUGGCAAAGACAACUAUUUAGCCUUAUGCAAACUGACAGAAGAGAACUGUGUAGCUUGGUCAUUUUUCUUAUAUCAUAUUGGAACUUCGUUGGAAAAGGCUGCUGCAUAAUCAUACCGUUACGAAAGGUCACGUGGACAGACAUCACACAGGUUAGGUCAAGUAGCUGUGUAACCCUCAGUGUUAUUCCCAGUUGGCCCCAGGAAGUUGGCGAGGACGUUCUUACUGAUGUCCCAGCCCUUUGGACUUCACUGAUGCUGAGGUCAGCAAGCCUGGGAGUCUCCACCAAGCCCUCGUGCUCAUUCAUAGAUCGCAGCGGUAACGCUGGGACUCUCUGGCAAGGCUCUGCCGUUUAUUCAUAGACAGCAGUGAGGUUGUGAUAUGAACACAGAAGGAACACAAUUCUUCAUUACUCUGGGGUAAAUGACCAGGACUACAAUCACCGAGUUGAGGCUUUAGGCAUGUUCCUUUUAUCGAGACACUGCCAAGCCGUUUUCCAGAGGGGUCUGCCCUGAUACCUCCCACCGCACUACUUCCCACUCGGAGCAGGAGGACUCAGGUUCUGGUUGCCACUGCAUUUUUAGCUGGGAUGCUUUAUUGUGGUUGGAAUUUACAGUUCACUAGCGAUGGGUGGUGCUGAGCCCAGUGCCAUGUGCUUCUUGUCAUCCACGCGCGUGCCUCCUGGAUGAAGCGGUUCUUUAGAUGGAUAUGAUAGGGCUGUGGCUUCAUGAGCUGCGCCGGAGACUGUAAACUUUUAGCGGUGUAUCCAUUCUGACUUAAUUUGCAUUAAAUUGUGAAUCUGAGGCUGAGACUCAUUGCUUACACCUUGGGUGCCCAUUCGUUCCAUCGCUAUUGAAAGGGACAACAUCACGUUCAUUGAGAUUGGCUUUGCACGUUAGUCAGCACCUCGAUGAAUAUAUUUCUGUGAAUAUAUCUGGCUCUCCUUUCUGAUGUCAUGAAGUCUUGAUUGUUUUCACUAGUUCAGCUUCUCUUUCCCUAAUAAUUUCUGAAGAAUCUAACCUGCUUCUAAAACACAUCUUGCUGAACUGUUGAUAAGAACCAGGUAUACCUGCGUACAAAUCCAAGGAGGAUGGAUGGACUGGGUUACCGCUUCAAGUCAGGACCUGCAGCCUGACUCUUGGUGUGUCUGCACUUCCUAGUUUUCAGCCCCUAAGUCCUAUAUAUGCCUUGUUGGGAUUCUACCUAAGUGUAUUUGUAAAUAAAACUUUAUUUUU
rnacentral:lncRNA from 1 species